UACGGAGGGCGCAAGCGUUAUCCGGAUUUACUGGGUUUAAAGGGUGCGUAGGCGGGCUUUUAAGUCAGCGGUGAAAUCUUCGGGCUCAACCCGAAAAUUGCCGUUGAUACUAUUAGUCUUGAAUUAAGUUGAGGUGGGCGGAAUGUGUCAUGUAGCGGUGAAAUGCUUAGAUAUGACACAGAACACCGAUUGCGAAGGCAGCUCGCUAAACUUAUAUUGACGCUGAGGCACGAAAGCGUGGGGAUCAAACAGG
rnacentral:rRNA from 1 species